rnacentral:piRNA from 1 species
UACAAUGUAUUGUGUGCAAUUGGUUAGC